rnacentral:lncRNA from 1 species
ACUGUUUAUCAAUCAUCUGUGUACACACGGCAGCCAACACCUCAUUCUCUGUCUGCUUGUGUCUUUCACAGUCCUCAGUGGUACAGUCCUCCUAAACCGGACUCAAGUUCAGAUACAUUCAAUCACUUUCAGCAUCCUGUGGAUUUUGUUGUUGAUGCGCCACCAGACGUUUUGGUUUCCUUGGCUGAAGAUGUCAUUCCAAUUGAUACUAAGAGUGAUUGGAAGACAGACAUGGACAGAACCAGCACUGACUACACCUACAGCCGGAAAACCCUGAUUGAAGAUUUUAAGAGGUACAGCAUCAUUUCUUUCUUUCUUUCUAUUUUAUUUUAAAGCAGAUGUGUCCGAACCUGUU